ensembl:lncRNA
AUGGAGCACAGCUGGAGGAAAACAAAACUAGAGGUCACCGUAGCCACCAGAUCCAGUCUGUAUCCAAGUCAGAGGGUCACUGCAGUCACCCGGAUCCAGUCUGUAUCCAGCCCAGAUGGUGGAUCAGCACCUAGAAAGGACCUCUACAGCCCUGAAAGACAGUGGAGACCAGGACAACUAGAGCCCAAGAGACAGAUCCCCUGUAAAGACCUUGUCUCAGACGACCACCGGGACAAGACCACAGGAAACAGAUGAUUCUUCUGCACAAUCUGACUUUGCUGCAGCCUGGAAUUGAACUGCUGGUUUCGUCUGGCCAGAGGAGAACUGCCCCCCCACCAACUGAGCCUGGUUUCUCCCAAGGUUUUUUUCUCCAUUCUGUCACUGAUGGAGUUUUGGUUCCUUGCCGCCUCUGGCUUGCUUAGUUGGGGACACUUCAUUUACCGCGAUAUCGUUGACUUGAUUGCAAAUUAUUGCACAGAUACUAUUUAAACUGAACUGAGCUGCAUGAUGACAUCACUGAAUUCAGUGAUGAACUGCCUUUAACUGUCAUUUUGCAUUAUUGACACUGUUUUCCUAAUUAAUGUUGUUCAGUUGCUUUGACGCAAUCUUUUUUGUUUAAAGCGCUAUAUAAAUGAAGAUGACUUGACUUGACCAAGAGCUUGUAACACUCCAAAGAGAAAGGAAAAUUUGAAAUCGCAUCAUAUGACCCCUUUAAUUUCAAGUGAUCAAAUCAGAUUUGUGUGUCCAGACAUAACCAACUUAUCUGCAUUGAUUGCUUUGGAUACGACAAGACAUACCUUUCCCGAGAAUAGUUAAAAUAGAGGUUGGUGCAGAACUCUUCUGUCACUAGCGAUGUGACGAGGUCUCGUGGUAUGAGAUCUCGUAAAAUCCGAUGUGUCCCACGAGAUCUGGCUGGUCUCACGAGAACGUGAUGAUAUCCUCGCAAAACAAUUUGCAGUUUACAUUAGAGCUGCACAAUUAAUCGUUUAAAGAUCACAAUUUCAAUUCAAACACACACAAUCAAUCUUAUUCCUGAAAGACAACAAUUCAGCUAUGUCUAUUACAACUGUUUCACAUCGCUAGUGUCAGUGGAGCGUGAGAAGCACGUUUUGUCGCUGCCCAUGUUAAUGAAUCAUUCAGGCUGCUGCUGAUCCAGAAAGAGUUAUACAAACAGUAUUUUCAAUUACACAUCAUAAUUUCUGUGUUACAGACAUUUAAUUGUCUUUAUGAAUUGAGACACUGACUCCUUCAUUUAUAUAUUUAUUUUUUAAUUUUGUUCAAAUUAAUAUAUUUUUUAAAAGACUUAAGCAUUUUGUCAAAACCACUAGUAAAUUGUGUUAUUUUGUUUAGUGAGAUAAUUUGUUAAUUGUGAGAUAAUCGUGAUCUCCAAUUUAUAUAUAUAUAUAUAUAUAUAUAUAUAUAUAUAUAUAUAUAUAUAUAUAUAUAUAAACAUGAUUCUCAAUUUAUCCAGAAUCGUGCAGCUCUAGUUUGCAUGUUGUUUAUUGCUGCAUAGAAUAGAUAUAUUAUAUUAUAU